AAAGAGAGCUACAAUGGUACAAGGUGAUAUUUGAUUUCAUUAAACAUUUUAGGAAAAAGAAAUGCUUGAGUCUAUAUGAGUGACCCUUCUCAUCUACUUAUUAUCAUCAUCUUCUUCUUUUUCUUUUUCUGUUCUAAUUCCAAUUUGAGCUGCACAAAUGCCGAAAAGAACUUUUCCAAUUGAAGUAGCUAACAUUUUCUUCUUUUUGGUGCUAGCACAAAUUCUUUCAAAAUUUUAACGGCACACAUUCAUGAACAUAUUAUUUACUUCCUUCUUCUCUUCCUUCAUUUUUUUUUAUAGUUAGUUUACAUAAUAAAAUUAAUUCUUUCCUUCCCCUCACCCCUGCAUUGAUGGCAAAAUUUAAAGUAAUAUUAUUAGCUAAACUAGUAGUCAUCACCUACAUUUUUCUCGUGAACCACCUUUUUUUAAAAGAAAAA
rnacentral:misc_RNA from 1 species